UACGUAGGGGGCUAGCGUUGUCCGGAAUCAUUGGGCGUAAAGCGCGUGUAGGCGGUCCGGUAAGUCCGCUGUGAAAGUCGGGGGCUCAACCCUCGAAUGCCGGUGGAUACUGUCGGGCUAGAGUGCGGAAGAGGAGAGUGGAAUUCCAGGUGUAGCGGUGAAAUGCGUAGAUAUCUGGAGGAACACCGGUGGCGAAGGCGGCAUCCUGGACCGGUAUUGACGCUGAGGCGCGAAAGCUAGGGGAGCAAACGGG
rnacentral:rRNA from 1 species